rnacentral:lncRNA from 1 species
AAACCUGCUUGCACCUUUAUAAAUGGAUACAGCAAGAAUAGCUGAAAGCUAAAAUUUUGAAAUCUGCUGUUUUCUCUCCAUGGGAGAAGGGGAAGUUGCCAUCACGGCAGACAAAGCACAAGCAUGGUCGUAAGCUGGGUGAGUUCCUCUCCUGGAAGGCAAAAAGCUUCAGGGAGAUAAAGGUAAGAAAGUGCUCUCUGCAGUUACUCAUUGCCCCCACCUUUUCUCAGGGAGCCCUUCUUGCUGCUGAUAUAGAAAUGGGUGGGGGAAGAAGACGGAAGAAGGAUGGGGGAAGAAGGAUGUUGCUCUAUGAUUAUUGUUUCAGUCUGGGUGAACAUGUGAUGAGACAUGAGACUUGUCCAUUGUGGUACUUGAUGCCAAGCCUGAGCUCGGGCCUGACUGCUUUAAAAGCUUGUUUGUAUAGAGACAGCCACAAACAGAAUUAGGUUCUUCUCUUACAUCCCACAGUUGCGGCUGUGGGAAAGGCAGUGGUAAUGCCACAUUUUCUGUGAUUUUCCUAGUGGUGGGAUCAGCAAGAAGCAGAAAGCCAAGGGUUAAUUUCCUCCUUGGCUGAAAAGGAGUCAAAGACUUGCCUGUCAAGAUAGUGCCUCACCACUGUUCAAAUUUUUGAGUGGAGAAAGUCCUCAUCUCUCCUGGACCAAAAAUGGAGGAAUGGACUAUAAAGCCCACAUGGCCAGGGAGAAUUUGCAUGAUAGGCUGCAUUAUGCUUCACGUUUUUAGCCUUCACCUGGCGACCCUCAUACCUGAGAGUAACUAGAUCUAUUCAAACACUGCAGCUUCUCCUAGAAAUUGCUGCAGACCCUGCAAAACCGUGUAGCUGGCACAGGCUUACACAGUAAGACCUAAGCCCUCAUAGGUGAUUCCAAUGAUUGUAAGACACCAAAACAACUUCAGGAGCUGAAGUUUCAUGAAAGGAAGAAUAGGUUAUUGACCUGAUUUCUGAGGACGUAUUGACACUGAAAGAUGCAUAAGGAAACCUGGCGGCUUCCUCACAACCUCUUAGGUACCUAGAUCUAGUAAAGCCCAUGGGAGCCUAAUGCAUGGGGUAUUUUUAAGUUUUUGUUAGGUGUCCCUCUACUUCUCUAAGCAAGAUCUUCUGAUGUAUUCUGAUGCCUGGCUGCUUUUUAAAUUUGUGCCAAUUAGAUGCCUGAAUACUUUCAGAAAUCUGGUCUCUACCUUUCUGAGAAGUGGGAAUUAAGUAUGUUUCCCACAACUUACACCAUUGCAGUUUAGUCAUCACCAAUAAUUGUGGAAACCUAAAUACUCUACCAAAUCUGAUCUCAGAAGACCCCAAAAACUGAUUUUGUACCUCCGUUUGAUCCUAACUUUCAGUUAAUAUUGGUGCAGUCUCCUUUAAAAAGAUUGUAAGUAUUUACCAACAUAGUCACUGAAAAGCCAUUUAUAAUUUAUAUAGGUAGUUGCAAG